UUACUACUGCUGCUACUACUAGUACUACUAUUACUACUGCUGCUACUACUGGUACUACUAUUACUACUGCUACUACUAUAGUACUACUAUUACUACUGCUGCUACUACUAGUACUACUAUUACUACUACUGCUACUACUAGUAGUACUACUAUUAUGGCUACUACUACUAGUACUACUAUUACUACUGCUACUACUAUAGUACUAAUAUUACUACUGCUGCUACUACUAGUACUACUAUUACUACUACUGCUACUACUAGUACUACUAUUACUACUGCUGCUACUACUAGUAGUACUACUAUUAUGGCUACUACUACUAGUACUACUAUUACUACUGCUACUACUAUAGUACUACUAUUACUACUGCUGCUACUACUAGUACUACUAUUACUACUGCUGCUACUACUAGUACUACUAUUACUACUGCUGCUACAAGUAGUACUACUAUUACUACUGCUGCUACUACUAGUACUACUAUUACUACUGCUGCUACUACUGGUACUACUAUUACUACUGCUACUACUACUGGUACUACUACUAUUACUACUGGUACUACUACUGGUACUACUAUUACUACUGCUACUACUACUGGUACUACUAUUAUUACUACUGCUACUACUACUAGUACUACUAUUACUACUGCUACUACUAGUACUACUAUUACUACUGCUGCUACUACUACUAGUACUACUAUUACUACUGAUACUACUAGUACUACAAUUACUACUACUGCUACUACUACUACUAUUACUACUACUGCUGCUGCUACUGUGGCUACUAGUACUUCUAUUACUGUUGCUACUAUAAUAAUACUACUGCUGAUGCUACUAUACUCUUACUAUUAUACUACCACUGUUGCUCCUACUACUAUACCACCAUUAUUGCCACUAGUACUACAACUGAUCAUCAUCACCAUCGCCAUUAUUGAUCAUAUUGAAACUACUUUUUGGAGGCUACAGAUGUUUUUAGCAGAAGCCAUAUAAAUCCAUGACUAUGUCAGAUGGCUUCCAUUCCUGACUGGCUCCAUAAUUUGGGGAUACCUACUUCAACUCUGUGGACCUCAGUGUCUUCACCUUUAGGCGGAGGUAAUAAUAGCUCCCAUACAUGGGAAGCACUGUGUUGAUAAGGGUUAGUGAUGGUGGUUACUGCUGUUCUUUCAUUCAUGUGCAAGCCAUUCGGUCAUUCUUCGUCACUCUGUAGCUCUCAUUGUGACUCACCCCAGAGGCGUCUUUUGAGCAUCUUCUUUGCAUGAAGCACAUUGCUCGGUUCUUUUCAUGUCAGUCUCUGACACACAUCUACACCUUUACACUUGCCUGAGAUUCUGUAAAUUGGAGUGAAGCUGAGAUAGCAUAAAACUUGUUUCCAUAUCUAUUAGGUAUUAAUUAGCUCUACAUAGAUUAUUAAUUUUGCUAUAAUGACCACAAUUAUUCUUUUAAUUUUAGGAGUGACAGUUGGUUUCUUUUGAUUCAUAAUCAUGACUAGUUAUUCUUCAAAAUGAUCCAAACCUCAACCUGGUGAUAUUCUUUCUUUUUCCUGUGAGGAUGUCUAUGAGCUAAGAGGUUUGACCCAAAGGAGAAAAGCAGAAGACUUAAGAUGCCAUUCCAACAGCAGCUUUGGGUUAGAUCGAUUCACAUUGGUCACCUAUUCAACAGAGCACUAAGUGUGAGCAGUGCUUCAUGGUGUCUGUUGAUUGCCCCGACUAGAAAGAUUCAGAGUUAGAGUUCUUGGAGUCUUUGUGUACCUCCUUCUAACUCCUCUCUAGAGGAAAGGGACCCAGCCUGGGGCCCAGGUGCAUACUCAAGUCCUUAUAGAGAGGAUUUAGGUGCUUUUGCUGAACAGGCACCUCGCCAUCUAAUCAGACUUUUGUUCCCAGGGGUUCAUUUAGAAAGAUAUGGCAUGACUUUUAGGGCAUAUCCAAAGCCCUUUCAGAAUGAGCCAAAUGACCUUGCUUUUCUCUCUCAUCUCUUUUUAUUUUAAAAAUAGAUGCAAUUGCAUCUUUGGAGUCCCUGACCAAGAAGGCAACCGGGCUGGAUUCUAUUCCUGGCCGUGCUGCUGUUGUCUUGCUGCCUGGCAAUUCACUUGACCUUUCUUCCCUUCCUUUCCCCUAAGGAAGAUGCCUGCUGUGGAUAGACCCCAUGGGGGCGUUGGGAGGGUUUCAGGAGUGAAUACAACUAUCUCAGACUAUAAUAUGAUGCUGCCAACUACUUUGAGGCUCUGGGAUGAAAGAUGCUGUGUGAAAGAGCAUUGUUAUUACAUUUUGUUAAAAAUAUGGAUCAAACGCUGACUAUACAGCAAGUACGAAAUGUUAAUUAUUGUUAUAAUAUCAUAACAAAGCAGAUGCCAGAAUAGGAUAUCCCACAAGAAAACCUAUUAUAAUAAGCCAGUGUGAAAUGUACAUAUUACAAAGAUAUUUGGCAAGGAGGCAGAUUUGGUUUUGAAAUCUCAAUGAACAAUUAAGUAGAAUAAAAAAUAACUUUUAAUGCUAUGAAAAAUAUAAGUGUCUUGACAACUCUUUAACAUAAAAAUAAAGAGCUGCCUUAUCCCCAUACAAAAGAGGCAACAUCAUUGCUUUCUUUUCCUCCUGAGCAGAAGAUUCAUUUCCUUGGACAUAGAAGAAAAAAGCAAUAUUUGUCCUUACAAUGACCCCUUCAAUAGCUUUCUUUAUGACAGAGGUGGAUUUGGGAGAAAAUUCUCUAAGUUUAUAAUAGCACAUCUAAUUUUUAAAACAUCUUAAAUGGGUUUGGCUUCUACUGCUUGUUUCUCUUUCCUUCUCCAAAUGCAUGCUCUGUUUGAGAAUGCAUUAGAGAAUGGACUUCUACAUGCAUUCAUAAAUGCCACUGGCUUCUUCAGGCUCAAGCUUUUCACCUGUUUUCAGAUCUUAAAUGCAUAGUCCAUCAUGUGAUAUCAGCUGGAAAAAGAAAGGGAAAGAGGGAGAGAAGACAAAGGAAGAUGGAUUUAAGAAGAGAUUCCUAACCUAAAAAAAACACCAAGUUCAAGAGAACAUAAUUUUUAUGUCCUAGUGCUUUCUCAGAAUGGAUCAUGCAUGAAUUCACCUGGCAUGCUAAUUUGUCCCCCCAGAAUACUGUGAGAAACGAAUAAUCAACUCUCAGGGGAAAGAAAAAGUCUCUAUUUGCAUUGGGCUCCAUAUGACCUUUGAGGAAGGGGAGAGUGGAGGAGAACUGCACAUCUCAGAGCAAAUGUGCAGUAGAUUGUGCACCCUCUGCUGAUAGGAUUAUGGCCAGAUUAUAUCAUAAUUACCUUGGCUGUGACUCCGUGUUUAUCUGCCCUGACGUGGACCCAGCCACCUAAUUCAUUCCACACUCACUUCAGUUUUUCCCUUUGAACUAAUUUCCCAGUUACUCAAACUUUUCAGAAUGCAUGGGUUACAGAACAUCACCAAACUCCAUAUUUGUCAUUCAGUUGUAUGAAGCGGAGAAGGUAAGAUAUCAAACAUAAUAACAAAUGACUUGUUUGGGAUUAGAGUUGGAAUGUGAAAAAAGUCUAGGCUUUUGCAUUGCAACAAAAUAUUCGCGAUGACUCAGUAGAGGCCAGGGGAAACCACUGCCCUUGUGCCUGUGAACCUCAUGGGACAAAUCUGCAAAAAUGCCUGGUCUCUGGAGGGAGCAGCCACGCCAGGUGAAUGUGGGCUGGGGCCGGGGCUAGGCUGGGCCCUACCAGGGCUGGAGGAGCGGGAACGAGGAUCUUGCCUUUCUCAGGACAUGGUCAUGAUUUCCGCACCCCUGUAAUAUCAGGGAGUUUCACAAGUGCUUUGGAGCCACUUCUUAAGCUUAAGUGGGGAGUUGGAUAACAGCCUCAUUACUGCCCUCAGGAUUUCUUGGGAAAAUGAGCAGGGCAGAUGAGAUGCUGGCACAUGAAGAGAAGCUGGAGGGAAGCUGGGGGUCCCAUUAGAUUCCAACCUCCUACCACCUGAUAAGAAACCCAAACAGAGGCCCCAAAGAAAAAUUACCAGGACAAGUGGCUGAGUAGCAGACAGUGAAGGCCCUUGAAAAAGCCUCUGCAUCUCCAUGCUGGACAGCUCUCUCUUCUGCAACUGGUGUAAACAUUAGGGACAUUCCUGGUGCUGAUUUUAAGUUUGAAUUCCUACAGCGUUAGAUUCAUUUUACAGCCAAUGUUGCUUGCGAAGGCACGUCCAGCAGGUACCAGGCCAGAGGGAGGUAAGGUGAGCUGAGACCCUGCCCUGCCCUUGACCUGCUGGAUACCCAGUAGGAGGCACAGCCCCAGGAAGUCAAGCUCAGAGAAGACUUCUGAAGAGAUUCCAGAGCCAGGAAAAGUGAGGCGCUGAAGGUUGGGAAGCUGUAAAAGAGCAGGAACUCUGAUCUAAGUUUUACCAAAGUGGGGGCGCCUUCCUCAGGAGGCCAGGAGGCCACAAAAAGAGUCAACCUCUGUAAAAUAUUUGAAGAGAUUUAUUCUGAGCCAAAUAUGAAUGACCAUGGCCUUUGACACAGCCCUCAGGAGGUCCUGAGAACCUGUGCCCAAGGUGGUCGGGUGCAGGUUGGUUUUAUACGUUUUAGGGAGGCAUGAGACAUCAAUCAAGUACAUUUAAGAAAUACAUUGGUUUGGUACAGAAUGGUGGGAUAACUCAAAGUGGGGGUUUCCAGGCUGCAGGUAAAUGUAAACAUUUUCUGGUUGACAAUUGGUGGAGUUUGUCUAAAGACCUGGGACUGAUAGAAAGGAAAGGUUCAGGUGAAGAUAAAAGAAAGUGGAGAUCAAGGUUUCUUUGAAGUCUUGUAGUGGCUGCCCUUAGAGACAACAGAGGACAAAUAUCGCCUAUUCAGAUCCAUAAAAGGUGCAAGACUUUUAGUUAAUCUCUUGAGGAUUGGGAGGGCCUGGAAGAAAAAGAUCUAGCUAUGUUAAUAGAGAUUCUUUACAGAUGCAGAUUUUCCCCCACAAAGGGCAGCUUUGCAGGACCAUUUGAAGAUAUGGCAACUAAAUAUGUUUUGGGGUAAAAUAUUUUGAUUUUCUUCCUUGUCUUGUUAUGCCAGAGUCAGGCUGGAAAGUAUAUCAUGAUAUAAAGGAUUAAAUAAAACGCAUCUGAUGAGAAUUUAUGGUUUGUAGCGCAUGACUCCCCAGAUUCCUUAGAUAGGAAUUGGGGCAAAAUUAAAAAAAAAUAGAGCUUAGUCCUCACAGGCUAGGAAAGAAACCACUGGAUUCCAGGGGUGGCAGGAAGCUCUGUGCCCCAGAGCCAUGACCAGGGCUGGAGGUCAGAGGGAGGGGGUAAAGUCAGGCUCCAGUCAGGCUUAGAAUAUGUGUCACAGGCUGAACAGUGUCCUCCUGGAGUUACAUGUAGCAGUCCUCACCUCCAGGAGCUUAGAAUGUGACUGUGUUUAGAGAUAGGAUAUUUAUAGGGUGAUCAAGUUAAAAUGAGCCCUUUAGGGUGAGCUUUAAUCCAGCAUGACCCAUGUCUUUAUUAAAAGGGGAAAUCUGGAUGCAGAGACAGAUGCAUAGAGGGAAGGUGAGGUGAAGAGACGGAGGGAGAAGAGGGCCACCUGCCAGCCAGGGAGACAGGCCUGGAAGCCUUCUCCCUCCCAGCCCUCAGACUGAACCCACCUGCCAAUACCUGGCUCCCAGGCGGCUGGCCUUUAGGGAUGCGGAGAUGACACAUUUCCCUUGUGUGAGCCACUGGCUGGUGAUGCUAUGUUAGGCAGCCAAUACAAUGGUACUGAGCAGCUUGGGCUCUUCACACCUCUCGGUGGAUCUAUUUCCUGCGCAUCUGGUUACAAUGCAGGUUUGGGUUCCACAGGGUUGGGGUGGGUCAGACACUUGGUGUGACUGACAGCCCCUGGCUGCUCCCUGUGCUGGGGGUCUGGUGACCACACCGGUGAGGAACAAGGCCUCAGACCAAAGAUUCUAAAACGAAGCUUCAUUGAAGAAGCUCCUGGGGAGGUUUGAAAAAAUACUAAUCCCAGGACUCCACUGAAGAUGAAUGGCUUUAGACCCUAGGGUGGGGGCUGGGACCUUGUAUUCAUCCUCCCACCCUCUGGGGAGGCUGCUGAACAGGCAGAGUUGAGAAUUCCUUGGCCUGGGGGACCCCCUGCAGGGUGCCACCUCGCUGGGGCUGUGUGAGAUGUGUCACCUCUGGUCAGGCCAUGUGGGGAAACUGCUGCAGACUAAAGCUCUUUCCAGGCUUCCUGAUUUGCCUAAGAACAAAACAUUAACCGUACAAUUACAAUGUGUAUGUUCAAAAAAUAAGUUAAUUAAAAUAAGUUAAAAAAAUCAUUCACACCUUGGGGGAGGGAAAGCCCCAGAUACAGUCCUGCCCAAAGGCUGCGGCUUGCUGAGAUGGUAGAAUGUGCCCGCUCCAGUGGCACCCAGCAUCAUGAAGUGAGUUAAACAGAAGGGUCUGUAAGACACAGACUCUCUCUGGGAAGCAACACAGAGGGAAGCCCCAAAGCCACAGGGGAGACAUGAACAGAGACACCAGGGAAACAGCUUCAGGUACCCGUAUCUACAGCACCCAUUAAACAGCCCAGCUCUUCCUAGAUUAACAGGAACCAGGACUGUUAUGUUUGGUGCCGAAACUCAUGUUCUUCUCACUCUAAACAUGCUCAUGAGUUAUCAUACCAAAUUAUUUCAACAAUCAACAAGGCCUUUUAAAAUCAUGAACACAGAGAUGAAAAUAAGACUUCUCCAGCUUCAAGAAAUGGUUUCUGCGUGUUAAGUGCUAGUUAUAUUCUAGACUCACAUGGUACUCUGCUUAAUCCUCAUUUGUUGUAAUAAUUGUCAGUGUGUUUUCGGAUAGGGUUUGGAAGGGGCAAGUCACCAGGCCAAAGUCCUGGGUGCUACUUGUUGUGGCGAAACUGGAAAGCAGAUAUGCUGCGCCGAAGCUCAUGCUCUUACUAGCACACCAUGCCGCUUUUUGUAGGAGCCUCAGCUCUAGAGGCAGGCAGCCCUCUUGCAGCAGGAUGGAGCCCAUGUUAGAGAAAAGCCUGAUUGCUUGAGUAUGUAGAUUAUUCACUGAAAUCAGCCUCAGGAAAACAGGGCCUUCAAAAGAGAGACAAGAAAAUACUCAGACCAAGAGCUCUGGGCAUCAGCUUACCUACCUGAUAAGGUACCUGCAAAAGGUCUCAAAACGUUGACCAAGAAAGCGACGAUUCACUGCCCACCUGGAAACAGCAUAGGUUUCACCAGAAUGUUUGGAUGAUUGUUCCCCUUAAAACUCCCUCAUCCAGAGUCACAACUCGGAGAGGUGCUCCUUGAAUGCCGGUUCACCGCCUGCGCUGGGUCGGUGGCUUCUGGAAUGAGGCUAACUUUCCUUUCACCAAAGCUCAUCUCUUGAGUUUUUGGCUUUCAGGUGACAAGUGGCCUGGACCUGAGUUUGGUUAUAUUAUGACAGGGUAAAAAUUAUGGAAACCCGGCUGUGAUCCAUGUUUUCUCUGCUGGGUGGGCAAAGCUAUGGUGCUGACGGGAAGAACCGAGGGUGCCCAGACAGGGUGCCCAGACAGGGUGCCCAGACAGCCUGCAAAGAAACUGGGAAGCGGGCUUGAGCUCCCCAUAGUGGCUGGUUCCAGGGAAGUAAUGAAAAUAGUUUAGAGACAGAGCAAGUUUCUCUAGCUCUAAUGGACAUUUUGUGUCACCUCCUGAAGAAGAACCGAGUACUUGGGCCUUUCCUGGGAGGAGGACUCUGCAUAGAGUUACUGGGCUCCUUUGUCAGAAUGGGUGGGAGCUUGUCCCAAGUCCAGGGCCAAUCUCGGCUUCAGUUCGCUUUUAGGGUAUUUUUAUGAAAAAUGCUAUUGAUGGGAAAAUACCCUACAACAUUUCCUCAAACUACUGAAAAGCACUCGUCAUUGGGAACAUGCGUGGCACAGGAUUUUAGAACAAAAAGCACGGGCCUUGGAUGUUUGUAUUGGACAGACUGAGAUGAGAACCCGAGGAUUUAGAGCUCAAGCAUGGGAUCCUAGAGGAACAGUCCAGAGCAGCUGAGGAGAGUCGGGGAGCAGUGGCUGCUGGUCCUCUUGCAUUGAGCUUCGUUUGCUUUACCUGGUGACUUUCGUCUUCCCUGCUGGACUCUCAGCUGCAUGGGCCAAACCUGCCCUGGCUGAUGGGAGGCUGUCAGCCUAGGAGACUGGUGGCCAUUCAGGAAGGGGGUGCUGAGCCGCUGCAGAAGAGACCUCCUGCUGACUGCGGGCUGGGGAGAGUGAAGUGGAGGCUGGAGGGAUGAAACAGGAGAGUGGGCACGGAGCAAUAUGUUCUUGGGAUAUUGUUCAGAAGUGAGCACCACCAGGUAAUUUUUCUAGGGACAGACUAUGUCCUCAUAAAGAGCAGGCUACUCAAGAGACGCCACAACUGUAGCUGUGUCAUCUUCUGAGAGGCUUCCAGGAAAGCUGCCUUUGGCAGGGACCCCACCAUGGCUGUAUUAGACUUUCUCACACAGCCGAUAAAGACAUACCCAAGACUGGGAAAUUUACAAAAGAAAGAGGUUUCAUUGGAUUUACAGUUCCAUGUGGCUGGGAGGCCUCACCAUGAUGGUGGAAGGCAAAGAGGAGCAAGUUACAUCUUACAUGGAUGGUACCAGGCAAAGAGAGAGAAUGAGAGCCAAGCAAAAGGGGUUUAUCCUUAUAAAACCAUCAGGUCAAGACUUAUUCACAAGAACAGUAUGGGAGAAACCGCCCCCAUGAUUCAGUUAUCUCCCCAGAGAUUGUUCCUGUAGCCAUGGGAAUUUUGAGACAUGCAAUUCAAGAUGAGAUUUGGGUGGGGACACAGCCAAACUCUAUCAAUGGACUCAGAGCAGAUUUCGCAGAACAGAUAUCUAAGGUAGCUCAGGGAUGGUGGUUACCACUCACUUGGCAAAAAUUUGCUGUUCAUCUACCAAGAAACAGCCUCUGUGCUUGGUGCUGAGGAUGCAGGGGUCAAUAACGGUUCUAGGUUGAACAAAACCUAAAAUGUUAGAAAAUAGCAUCGCAUUUUGAUAUCAGGACAGAGGGACUGAAGAAAAUCCUACUACCCUUUGGGCAUACAGGGCUAUUUCCAUCUGAACCUGUGUUAAGGAAACCAGCAGUCAGAGGCGUAUUGUUUGAAGUGUACUGAGUUCUCUGUCUGGUUCAGCUUAUGGAAAUAUCUAGCACUGCGGGGUGUCCCAGGGUCAUUUCAUGGAAGGUGGCAGAAAUUUAUCUUUGGGUAAAUGUAUCCUUGGGCGCUCUGUCCACUGCGUCAGUAGCAAAGGAAGUUCAACUACCAAAAAAAUCUAGUUUUCUAAAAACAGGGAAUAAUGAUUAUUCUUUUCUUUACAAUUCCAUUAUGCAGAAAUCUAUCCUGGAGUAGUUUUCAGGACAUUUAUUUUUGUUUAAAAAAACUACUUAUUAAGUAAGUGUUUUCUAGGGUCAUAGUACAUUCAGGGUAGGAAAAGGUGGGGAGCAACUUUCGUUAGAUUCUGCAGUAUUUAUUCUUUUUAUUUAAGCACCAAUUAAUGGGGUAAGACCUUUAUGUCUCUGGCAAAACCCGAGCAGUGCUUCCUGAGGCAUUUGGGUCGUUAAACUUCAGGGUUGAAGCUUAGCAGGGAAGCUGCUCUUCCAUUACAUGGGAGUUGCUUCUAGUUAGAAGCUGGAUCCCCACAGGAACAUCUGACAUCACCUCUCAGCUGGGCGCGGCUGGUGCCCAGCUCCAGGUCCUAGUGGGAGUGCGGGUGGCUGGCAGUGACGUGCCCUUCCGCACAUUGCCCCGACCUCCAGAAGGCUCACUGCAGCAGGUCCUCUGUGACGUAGCCUGCUGGAAGCAGAGACUUGAGCUUUGUGAGGGCAGCUUAUCACCAAGAGCCAGUCCAAGCUGUACACAUGACCAUACUGGAGGGCAUGCUAAUGAGGACACAUGACCACACUGGAGGGCAUGCUAAUUAGGACACAUGACCACACUGGAGGGCAUGCUAAUGAGGACACAUGACCACACUGGAGGGCAUGCUAAUUAGGACACAUGACCACACUGGAGGGCAUGCUAAUGAGGACACAUGACCACACUGGAGGGCAUGCUAAUGAGGACACAUGACCACACUGGAGGGCAUGCUAAUUAGGACACAUGACCACACUGGAGGGCAUGCUAAUGAGGACACAUGACCACACUGGAGGGCAUGCUAAUGAGGACACAUGACCACACUGGAGGGCAUGCUAAUUAGGACACAUGACCACACUGGAGGGCAUGCUAAUGAGGACACAUGACCACACUGGAGGGCAUGCUAAUUAGGACACAUGACCACACUGGAGGGCAUGCUAAUGAGGACACAUGACCACACUGGAAGGCAUGCUAAUUAGGACACAUGACCACACUGGAGGGCAUGCUAAUUAGGACACAUGACCACACUGGAGGGCAUGCUAAUUAGGACACAUGACCACACUGGAGGGCAUGCUAAUGAGGACACAUGACCACACUGGAGGGCAUGCUAAUUAGGACACAUGACCACACUGGAGGGCAUGCUAAUGAGGACACAUGACCACACUGGAGGGCAUGCUAAUGAGGACACAUGACCACACUGGAGGGCAUGCUAAUUAGGACACAUGACCACACUGGAGGGCAUGCUAAUUAGGACAUUUGGACUGUAUUUUAUUAAUGGCCUUUGGCAAAAGUCCACUAAGAACUCUGAUGCCAGUACCAUCAGCAAGUGAGAAUUCCAAAUUUGCUGUUCUCUCCAAAGCCACCAUAGAGAAGCUGGGGGAGGGGUGAGUCUGUGAGUUCUCCCAGACGCACCAACAGCUUCAAAAAGGGGGGAAAAAUCCACCUUUCCCUUCUAAAACAGUAAUACUGUUGGCUGAAGAGACUUUCUUGCUUUGAGAAAAUGUCAUUGAUAAAUCCUGAAGCUAAAUGUAGAAAUUCUAGAGAGAGAAAAAUCAUAAUUGGAUCAGAUCUUUUUUUAUAAAGCCAGAGAAAAUGUACUGGAAAAUUCCUAGUAACUGAAAGUAACUUUUGUGAAGUCAGGAACUUCCAAACUAAACACAUCGACUAAUCCAGGCCUCUGCUGAGUAAUUCUCAGGGAACUGAUGUGAGUGUGGCCUCCAGUGAAAUCUUAUUUUUGCUAUGCAAAUAAGCUAGGGCACUUAUGAGUGACAACCAAAUGAUCUGAGAAUUGGGUAUUAGCUGUGUUGAAGAGUUUCCUUUAUGCCGGUCCUAGGAAAGCUUUAGUGUCUCCACAGACGAAUUUAUUUACUCUGUCACCAUGUAUUUCUUGAGCUCUGGCUGGUUGAUAGGCUCUGAGUAAGUGCUGGGAUAUGAGCUUGAGGGAAGCAGACAGUCCUGCCUUCACACUUACGUGCCCUGUGGGGAACAGAGACUGGAUUCAGAAAUAAAAUGUGUGCUUUAUUCCGCAGGCAGGUUUUGAGUUUCUGUGCUGUCCUGUGGAGGAAGGAAAGAUGGCAGGGUCCAGGAAUGUGGUCAAGGCCUCUCCUGGCUGUUCAGGUGUUGACCCCAGGUAGAGAGGUAUAGGCAUGUAUGUCAUGUUUUGAGGAUGAUGUCCCAACUCACAUGUGGCCAAAUGCAUAGUGUUUUAGGACAGGGCGAGGCUUCAGGGAAGGAGGGCCUUGUGUUGGGAGGGAAGACCCGAGACUUCUAGAAGCCUGUGGUUUCCUCCGGGAACAUUUCCUUGGGCAGCAGGUCCUGGCUGCUGCUGGUCAUUCAAGUGUCCUCAGCACCUCCUCCCUCCUGAUUCCUGCCCAGCUCGCCUAGCCUGGCCUGUACAGCGGGAGAGGGGGUCAGCUGUCUCUUCCAGCCCCUGGCCUGCCCCUCCUCAUCAGGAGGGGAGAGGCAGGAGCCUGGUGCCUGGGUGCAUUGUACUAACUACUUCUUUAAAUGCCAAGAGCCUGCAUUCUCCUGGCCCCAGUGCAACACAACUUGAUUUCAGCACGGACUGCCCUCUCGCUUUUAACUGGGUGCAGCCAGGGGUGACGGUCACAAUACACAAUGACUGGGAGAGUACAAGUGUGGCCAUUCAGAAAGGCACCAGCUGGCUGUGAGCUUUCAGCCCUGCUAUCCUGGCAUAGCCCAGAGUGAUGCCCUUGCUACAAUGCCAUCGAAUAUAUUUGAAAACAGAGGAGCAUGAAGACCACACCCCAGUCUCUAGUUUUGCCUUAUGCUUUGGAGUCUGUCACGUUAGCCAUUGGAGUGGAGGAACAGUCAGAAUGCAGUGAAUGUGGCUGCCUGGAUUCUAAGCUUUUGUGCAUUUGCCCGUGGCAGCUUGGGCUGGGGGCUGUAUAUAGUACGGACAGGCCCACUGGCAGGAGUCUGAGGGGCUCACACUGGCAGAGGAGAUCUCAUUCGGACUCCUAAGGAUCCAGAAGUUAAGGCAGGGAACAAAUCUGAGUCCUGGGGUGAUGUGGGUGAAAGUUCACUGAAAUUUGAAGUCCGGUGUCAAAACUGUUGUCCAAAUAGAGCAAUCCCAGGGCAAAUUUAGGGAGUUAGUAUUAUGGGAUCAGAGAACCUGGAGAUGUCUAGGGUGGAUGGUCUGGAGUAAUUCCUGAGGUGAAGUGGGAGAGGAAAGAGGAGUUACUUGAGGCAAGCGACAAGCUGCAGCUAGUGUUCCUGUGGCUUGCUGUGUGGACAGACCAGCCCAGUUUCUCUUGAAGCCUGGCAUAAGGAGAACACCCUGUUCUGUCAUAGCCCCUUUCUGACCCUGGCUGUCUGGUGUACUCUGAGCUGAGAAUGGCCCUGCCCUUUUUCUUUAGACGGGGAUAACCUUUCCAAUUUACACCUCAUUCAAUCCUCAGUAUAAAUGUUUGCAAAGAAAAAAUCAGCUUGUUAUUUCAACUGCAGUAUUUAUACCCACCCAUAAAACUACACAUGGAAACGACAAACAAAUUUAUUUGCCAUUUUUGAAAAUUUGGCCCUUAAAGGGCAUUAGCAAGAACAUUGUGCCAUUAGCACAGAUUGUUUUUAAAACACUUGAAAAGAUCCAAUUUCUACUGAAUUUGGGGGCCAAGUAGAUUGAAAAUUGUAUCUUAAAUUCCAGGAUCUCCAAGUAGUUCUGUUGUGUGCACAUUAGAAAAGUGAGCCAUUUAGAAACGACCUUUAUCAUGCAAGGAGAUGGAUCUGAACCUGGAUGCAUGGACAUUAGACAUCCUUGAGCCAUGGAAGGGCCCUCCAUAGAUACCUCUUAGGGAAGACCAGAGUGCCUGAUGGGCUGAUACCUCCUGCUGGGGCACCAGGGCUUGGGAAGGGGUAAGGUAGUGUAUUGUUGAGUUCUCAAGCUACUAAUAAAGAAAAACCCAAGACUGGGUAAUUUACAAAGGAAAGCAAGUUUAUUUACGAAACUCACAGUUCAGCAUGGCUUGGGAAGCUUCAGGAAGCUUACAAUCAUGACAGAAGGGGAAGCAAACCUGUCCUUCUUCACACGGUGGCAGGAAAGAGAAGUGCAGAGCAAAGGGUGGGGAAAUCCCCUUAUAAAACCAUCAUAUCUUAUGAGAACUCACUCACUAUCAUGAGAACAGCAUGGAGGUAACUGCCUCUAUGAUUUAAUUACCUCCCACUGGGUCCUGCCUAUGACAUGUGGGGAUUAUGGGAACUACGAUUCAAGAUGAGAUUUGAGUGGGGACACAUAGCCUAAGUUAUCAGGUGAGCUUGCUCCAUGGUCUUCAUUGCCUGAUGGUGCCUUCUGAGGAUGACCUAUGUCCCUGGGCAAGCACUCAGUGCUCCUGUCUUCCCUUCCUUCGGUAGUUCCUCACUGCCCACAGGAAAAAGCAUACAUUUCUUCUAUCCUGCUACAAACCCCAGGCUCCUGCUAUACCAAAGCCUCUUGGGUUGCUCCCCCAAACCAUGACCUGUCAGUUUCCUUGUCUGGAAUCUUUUGCAAAGUGGGAUGUCUGAGCCUCUGGUGCCAUGUCACUGGGACCUGCCCGCUGUCCCAAGCUGGGCAGUCAGAAUCCCUCUCCUGGGAAUUGCAAGAGUUGGCUGGAGCCUACCUGACAGGGGCUUGAUGCACAGCCACCUGAGGUCCAUAGUCACGGCUUAUGGAGCUUCCCUGGCUCUGGUUCAUUCCAUGGGGCUUGGUUUUCAGUCUUCCUUCUGUGCUGAGAUCAUCUUUAUGAAGUCCACCUUUUUCCUUAGCCAUAAUAGGUAGUUAUUGAGAGCUUAUUAUAUGCUUUCCUAAGCACUUUAUGUAUUAAUUUUUCUCAUUUGUUUCAAAAACUCUUAUUACUUUGAGACCACAGAUGAGAAAACUAAGGCCCAGGAAGGUUACGUAGCUCCCUCAAGCAAACAUAGUUGGUGCUUUAAUGCCUGGGCCACGUGGCCUGCUGAAGGAUUUCAACCACGUUUUCUGUUUCUGUAGCUUGUGAGCAAAAGGACCUUGCAGGAUCAUCUUUUCUCAUGCCUCCUCCACAGUGGCUUCAUGACCCCAGGUCCCAGCAUCUCUGUGCUGACUUUUUUGACUCGGUUGUGCUGCAUUGAGGUUCCCUCCUCUGAACUCCAAUAGAACAUGAUCCAUAUUUAUUCCAUAGGUUUUGUUUACUUUUUAUGCCUUCUUCAGUGGUAAAGUCCCUGAAUUAUUUAUGACCCUUGCCUGGAGCAAACUAGUAGUUCAAUAAAUAUUUAUUGAAGGAAUGUGAUUUUUUUUUCUUCCCUAGAGUAGAUAACCAGGAGGGAAAGAAAAGGAAAGAGCAAGCUGGUGACAACGCAGGCUUCUACUGUGGAACUCAGAUUCAUCUGUGCAUUCAAUACAGGGAAGAUGCAUCAACCUCAGGUUUCCUCAUCUGUAAAAGGAGGACGAGGAUUCCUGGCCUGACUUCUGCGUUGGUGGAUGGUGAAGAUAAAACAGGAUGAAAAGCACAGAAGCACAGUGGGACUGCUUUGACUGCACCUGCACAUGCAACUGGGCAAAUGCCCGUCUUGGACGGACAGGUGUUGGUGCCAAGAUUUCACAGAGGAGGAGAGAAUCAAGCCCUCAAUACUGUGUAGAUGUCAGCCAGGUAGACAGGUAAGAGAGCCUAUUUCAGUACAAGGGCCGGGGUGGUGAGGGCCUGGAGGAAGGAGCCCUCACAGAUGACUUAUCUAUGAGAUGGGAACGGGGCAUGUGCGGGGAGCACCGUCACAAAGGUGAGGUGGGGAGCACAGGUCAGCAGUGCUCCCAGUUGCGUUAUGGUUUAUAUUAUUAUCCCCAUCAACCUCAGUUUUGCUCUUUGGAACAACAAAGAGUGAAUUGAAUUAUUCUUUCAUGAGUGCCUUUCAUAGGUUUGACAACAGCUUAUUUCUCUCCCAAGUCCUCUAUUUUCCAGGGUAAACAUUCCUCAUUCCUUCACUUUUCUUCGUAGGAAAUGGUUUUCCAGGCCUUUACCAUCAAAAUGUUUACUAUUGGAUGAGUCUCAAUUUGCAAUUUUUUUCUUAAAAUGUGGCUCCCAACACAGAAUCCAGCACUCCAGGUGUGGAGUGCACAGCGUGAUAUAUUGGGGCCAUUCUUUUUUCUGUCAUGAGCACUAAAUGUUGGCAUGCAAUCCUAUCUGUCUAGGUGACUUAAUUUCAAACUUCUGGGCCUUGUUUACCUACUAAAGCAGGGCUUUCAUCCUUGAACAUGCCACUAUUUGACUCACAAUACAGAACUGGUUAUUUAUACAUGUUUAUUUUUAUCUGGUUAGCUUCGAUCUGCUGUUUCCAAUAUGCCAGAACGUUUUAAAGUCCUGAUUCUACCAUUUGAUGUUUUGGUUAUCUCAUUCUGCCUAGGGCAUCUGAAGAUUUCAGAGUCAUAAUAUCUAGUCGUCUCCAUCCAACUCUUAAAUAAAAAUAUUGAUGGUACUUGUGUUCAAUUUAGAACCAGCAACAUCAGCGUUGUUAAGAACUUGUGUUAGUUCCUCAUAUUUGUGAAACUGAUAGUAGUUUAAAAAGUUUUGUUCACUGAUUGAUAAACAGAUAGCCCAGAGCAGCAUUUCUUAGUUCAAUCUCUGGACUUCCUCUAUCCUAAUGAAUGGAGAUGCUUAUACAAAUGAAAAUUCCUGGGCCUCUUUUGGGGCCUACAGCUCAGACACUAAAGGAUAGGCAUCAAUCGGGUUGUUUCUCACGAGCACUAGAGUUUGAAUGAGUGAAGUAGUUAUGCUGUCUUUAGCAUGAAUGAUGAACAGUGGUUGAGAACAGGCAGUUGGCAUCUCACUUAGUGUAAUGGUCUGUGGCUUUAUAUAUGGACAAACAUGUUUAAAGUGACAUGUUGGUGAAAUGAUGCCAGAGAGAUUUUUGUGUGCAUCUUAUAAAAAAAAAUCCUCCAUCUAUAACACCUUCCCCUCUGAUGCAGCCUUUAGCCCAGACCAAGGAGCAUGUUGAUAUUCUCCCAGAGGUGCCAGCAUCUUCCCGGCAUUACCACCGCGUUAGUCAGUCCCUGCUAUAUUGGGAGAGUGACUGUUCUGCACUGGCUGCAUGAAGUGGCUGAUCUCAUCCGUGAGCGGCACCACCUACAGCCGCGUCAGACUCUGGGGCCUCGAGACUGAGGGAGACUGACUCGCAGUUCUUUCUGCCACGCUGCGGCUCUGAGUUCACACCAGGGUAGACAGUGUGGGUUUGGCGGUGUGCUGUGCUAGGGAAGAGCCUCCUGAAACACACACGUACUGAAUCACAACUCUUUAGAUGCUCGGUCUAGAUUCUCCCAUGUAAAUGUGGCUGCCAAGGCUCCACCUAUUCUCAUGUGACUGUGACGCUACUCAGGAUUUAAAGAUCACUAUUUUUAAAGCUAGUUGUGAAUGUCACAUUUCUCCUCUCCUUAGAAGAUUCUGAUUAUCUGUUUGUCAGACAUCCCUCUGUUUUCUGCAACUUUAUUCAAUUCUGCAAUCUCUCUCUUUAUUUUAGGAGCCAGAGCAAAUUGUUGUUCAGGAUUUCUUUGGGACUGUCAUACAGUUGAGAUUCUUCUCUCUCCUUGCAACUGGAAGGGUGUCUGCAGGUCAUUCUAGAAU